AUUGAACGCUGGCGGCAGGCUUAACACAUGCAAGUCGAGCGGAGAUGAGGUGCUUGCACCUUAUCUUAGCGGCGGACGGGUGAGUAAUGCUUAGGAAUCUGCCUAUUAGUGGGGGACAACAUUCCGAAAGGAAUGCUAAUACCGCAUACGUCCUACGGGAGAAAGCAGGGGAUCUUCGGACCUUGCGCUAAUAGAUGAGCCUAAGUCGGAUGAGCUAGUUGGUGGGGUAAAGGCCUACCAAGGCGACGAUCUGUAGCGGGUCUGAGAGGAUGAUCCGCCACACUGGGACUGAGACACGGCCCAGACUCCUACGGGAGGCAGCAGUGGGGAAUAUUGGACAAUGGGGGGAACCCUGAUCCAGCCAUGCCGCGUGUGUGAAGAAGGCCUUAUGGUUGUAAAGCACUUUAAGCGAGGAGGAGGCUACUGAGACUAAUACUCUUGGAUAGUGGACGUUACUCGCAGAAUAAGCACCGGCUAACCCUGUGCCAGCAGCCGCGGUAAAAC
rnacentral:rRNA from 1 species